GACAAAGUUAUUCAUAUUAUUAUUUACAAUAUUGACGAUGUCUAGAAAGUUCUGUCGAGGAGAGGUUUGGUCACCUAAUUGCGCGCUAAUAGGGAGAAAUCCUUAUUGAAAAGCCCCCUCUUUCUUGAGAACGAUCUGGUUGUUAAAUAUUGUGAAUUAUAAUAAUGAUGAUAAAUAUUUUUAAAAAUAUUGAGGGAAUUUUUAUGAAGUAUUUGUUGUAAUUUUUGCUUAUUAUUUGAACCCCCA
rnacentral:lncRNA from 1 species